CCUACGGGUGGCUGCAGUCGAGAAUCAUUCACAAUGGGGGCAACCCUGAUGGUGCGACGCCGCGUGGGGGAAUGAAGGUCUUCGGAUUGUAAACCCCUGUCAUGUGGGAGCAACUUAAAAAGAUAGUACCACAAGAGGAAGAGACCGCUAACUCUGGGCCAGCAGCCGCGGUAACACCAAGGUCUCUAGCGGUGUUCGGAAGCACUGGGCGUAAAGUGUGCGGAGGCUGUUGCGUAAGUGGUGGGUGAAAGGCGCGGGCUCAAACCGCGGACGGCCAAGGAUACUGGGAGGCUAGAGUGAUAGAGGGGGAAGCGGAAUGCGUGGGGUAGCGGUGAAAUGCGUAGAUAUCGAGAAGAA
rnacentral:rRNA from 1 species